rnacentral:rRNA from 1 species
GACGAACGCUGGCGGCGUGCUUAACACAUGCAAGUCGAGCGGUAAGGCCCUUUCGGGGGUACACGAGCGGCGAACGGGUUGAGUAACACGUGGGUGACCUGCCCUCAGCUCUGGGAUAAGCCUGGGAAACCGGGUCUAAUACUGGAUAUGACUCCAUGACGCAUGUUGUGGGGUGGAAAGCCUUGUGCGGCUGAGGAUGGGCCCGCGGCCUAUCAGCUUGUUGGUGGGGUGANGGCCUACCAAGGCGACGACGGGUAGCCGGCCUGAGAGGGCGACCGGCCACACUGGGACUGAGACACGGGCCCAGACUCCUACGGGAGGCAGCAGUGGGGAAUCUUGCGCAAUGGGCGAAAGCCUGACGCAGCGACGCCGCGUGAGGGAUGACGGCCU